rnacentral:rRNA from 1 species
UACGAAGGGGGCUAGCGUUGCUCGGAAUUACUGGGCGUAAAGGGCGCGUAGGCGGAUAGUUUAGUCAGAGGUAAAAGCCCAGGGCUCAACCUUGGAACUGCCUUUGAUACUGGCUAUCUUGAGUUCGGGAGAGGUGAGUGGAAUGCCGAGUGUAGAGGUGAAAUUCGUAGAUAUUCGGCGGAACACCAGUGGCGAAGGCGACUCACUGGCCCGAUACUGACGCUGAGGUGCGAAAGCGUGGGGAGCGAACAGG